AAUGAACGCUGGCGGCGUGCCUAAUACAUGCAAGUCGAACGAACGAAUAAGAGCUUGCUCUUAUAAGUUAGUGGCGCACGGGUGAGUAAUAUAUAGCUAAUCUGCCUCUUAGUAGAGGAUAACAGUCGGAAACGAUUGCUAAUACUCUAUACUUCUGCUUUACAUAAGUAAAGUAGAGAAAGUUUUUCGCUAAGAGAUGAGGCUAUACUGUAUCAGCUAGUUGGUAAGGUAACGGCUUACCAAGGCUAUGACGCAUAACUGGUCUGAGAGGAUGAUCAGUCACAUUGGAACUGAGACACGGUCCAAACUCCUACGGGAGGCAGCAGUAGGGAAUAUUGCGCAAUGGGGGAAACCCUGACGCAGCAACGCCGCGUGGAGGAUGACACUUUUCGGAGCGUAAACUCCUUUUAUCGGGAAAGAAUAAUGACGGUACCCGAUGAAUAAGCACCGGCUAACUCCGUG
rnacentral:rRNA from 1 species